AUGUUUAUCACUGCACAUGCAAUGGGUCAACAGUUAGCAGUUCCUACACCUAUUGUGAUAAUCCAUAUAAAUGGAAAAAGGGCUAUAGCUUUGUUGGAUUCUAGAAGCUCUUCCUCCUUCAUUAAUCAGGAAUUUGCUGUGAAAGCUGGCUGUCACUUAAUCCCAGUCAAACCUAGAGCAAUGGUUGUGGCUGGAGGGGGUAAAUUAACAUCUGAUGUUGUUGUUCCAAACUAUGUCUUUCAGUUGGCAAAAACCACAUUAACACACAGUUUCAGAACUCUGACACUUCCCAGUCAUGAUGUGAUACUAGGAUAUGAUUGGUUCACACUCAUGAGCUCUGUCUCUUUCCACAUACCAGGUAACAAUUUCAGUUUCACCAUGGAAGGAAAGAGAACAGUAACUGCUGCCAUAUUCAAUACUCCUGACAAAGUUAAAGAAGUUACAGCGGAGAAAGUGGGAAAGUUAUUGGAUAAAGGAGCAGAGGGUUUUUUACUACAAAUGCAUAACAUUGUAAUGGAAGCACCUGCAGGGUUUACCACACCCCCUCAGUUACAGAAGUUACUGUUAGAGUAUGCUGACCUAUUUGAGGAGCCACAUACUCUCCCUCCACAUAGGGACUGUGAUCACACUAUUCCCUUACAACCUGGAGUUGAACCCCCUCAUUCCAGGCCCUAA
rnacentral:rRNA from 1 species